GGACAUUACACAAUAUGAAAGCGGGUUGGGACCUCACCUCGGGUGAGGGCUCCAGCUUGUCUGAAUUAUUCACCCAUGUCUUUUGCGCACUUCUUGUUUCCUGGGCGGGUUCGCCCGCCACCAGGACCAAACCAUAAACCUUUUUGUAAUUGCAAUCAGCGUCAGUAAACAAUGUAAUUAUUACAACUUUCAACAACGGAUCUCUUGGUUCUGGCAUCGAUGAAGAACGCAGCGAAAUGCGAUACGUAGUGUGAAUUGCAGAAUUCAGUGAAUCAUCGAAUCUUUGAACGCACAUUGCGCCCUUUGGUAUUCCAAAGGGCAUGCCUGUUCGAGCGUCAUUUGUACCCUCAAGCUUUGCUUGGUGUUGGGCGUCUUUGUCUCUCACGAGACUCGCCUUAAAAUGAUUGGCAGCCGACCUACUGGUUUCGGAGCGCAGCACAAUUCUUGCACUUUGAAUCAGCCUUGGUUGAGCAUCCAUCAAGACCACAUUUUUUUCAACUUUUGACCUCGGAUCAGGUAGGGAUACCCGCUGAACUUAAGCAUAUCAAUANGCGGGGAAGAAA
rnacentral:rRNA from 1 species